GAAUAUGUGUGUGUGUGUGUGUGUGUGUGUGUGUGUGUGUGUGUGUGUGUGUGUGUGUUGUGUGUGUAAUUCACCGUGGUGGUGAAUUACACACACACACACACACACACACACACACACACACACACACACACACACACACACAUGUGUGUGUGUGUGUGUGUGUGUGUGUGUGACACACGUGGUGGUGAACACACACACACACACACACACACACACACACACACAC